rnacentral:sRNA from 1 species
UUAGAAAUCUCCCACCCGAGAUAAUUCUGAAGUGUUUGUAGUUAAGGCUUUUGCUUUUCUUCUCCCCACACCCUUCCUGCCCUACUAUCUAUGGUUCCACCUCCCCAGGGACUGCUGAACAGGUCUCUGGAAGCCUCCUUGAUGUUGGAGGUAUGCCUAUCCAAAUGUUGGAGAUGAAAUACCGAGACCGAGCUGCAGAAAGACGGGAGAAGUACGGCAUUCCAGAACCUCCAGAGCCCAAGCGCAAGAAGCAGUUUGAUGCCGGCACUGUGUAU